rnacentral:rRNA from 1 species
GACGAACCGAGCGAACGUUGUUCGGAAUCACUGGGCUUAAAGGGCGCGUAGGCGGGUGCUCAAGUCUGUGGUGAAAUCCUCCAGCUUAACUGGAGAACUGCCAUGGAUACUGGGUGUCUCGAGGAACGUAGGGGUAUGCGGAACGAUUGGUGGAGCGGUGAAAUGCGUUGAUAUCAAUCGGAACUCCGGUGGCGAAGGCGGCAUACUGGACGUUAUCUGACGCUGAGGCGCGAAAGCCAGGGGAGCAAACGGG